CAAAUAUUCUUACCUGUGCUUGCAUCUGAUACUGUGGGGAGCUACUUACAUCCAUGCUGCCUGGGCAAAACAAGCCGCUCCCGAAAAUCUGUGUAAAAAUUUCAACAACAACUGUGUAAUUUUUACAAAAACACCACUAGCGGCUCCUCGAAGAUUCUAAAUAGUGUGAGAUUGAUUGUAGAUUCAAUUAUCUUGAACUCUUAAUGUAGAUGAAAGAGUACAUUUAUCAAAGACUAACGCCAAUGCGAUUGACAAUGUGAGCUCACCUAUUUCUCCAAGUUGAGUGAAUGUUGCUGUGGUGGCACUAAAAGUCCUCAACGAACCAAUGACUUGAGGAAGGACGGUGACUCACACAGAUGACACAGAGGAUCAUUGAGUGUGAGGACAAGUCAACAAUGUGAGUGUCCUGACUUCAGCACAUUGUUUGCCCUUGUGACUGCUAAUUAAAUUAGGGUUUAAGUAUGUACGUAUAAAGUGAAAAGAUACAUAAAUACAGAGAUUAGCACAUUACACUAGCUCACCUAAAAUAAUAGCGUAGAAAACUGCCUUAAUAUCUGUUUUUGAUUUUAAUAAAGCAACAUGAUUGAAAUAGUUUUUAAAGCUAAAAUCCAAUUAUGGUUCCAUGCAUUUUUUAAAUGUAACUUUUUACCAAAAAAAUAAACUUGGUAGCUCAACAAAUUAUUUGUUUUUUACAAACAUAUUACGUUUUGUUGCCAAUAUAUUUUUGACUAUAUUUAAAAAUUAUUUUCCUUGUAUAUUAGAUUGACCUUUACAUUUGUAAAACUUUUUUGUUUUAAUCCUAUUAUAAUAAAAAUGCUUACUUGUUAAUGUUACAAAUUCCCUUGCUGGGAUAUAAGUUUUUUUUAAUUUUCACAUUAUUAUUAUUCUUUGAGCCCAUAUUAAAGUAGCAUUUCAUGAUACGGUAUGGUCUCUUUAUGACAGGUUGGCUGAUAUAUUUCUUGAGCUCUUCAUAUAUUAUGUUCAAUAUAGUUUGCUUUGGUUGUCAACCAUACUAAAAGCAACUCUAAUAUUUCACUCUUGUGUAUGGAAAUAGGGGAAGCGAAACAGUUUUGAUUCAGUCAUCUCAGUAUUUUACCAUGCAUCUUAAUCUAUAUAAUAUUAAAUGACUAUAUUUUAAUGACCUUUUGUCAUUGAGCAUCAA